CCUACGGGAGGCAGCAGUGGGGAAUAUUGGGCAAUGGGCGCAAGCCUGACCCAGCAACGCCGCGUGCAGGAAGAAGGCUUUCGGGUUGUAAACUUCUUUUCUCAGGGACGAAGAAAGUGACGGUACCUGAGGAAUAAGCCACGGCUAACUACGUGCCAGCAGCCGCGGUAAUCCGUAGGUGGCAAGCGUUAUCCGGAUUUAUUGGGUGUAAAGGGCGUGUAGGCGGGAGGGCAAGUCAGAGGUGAAAACUCAGGGCUCAACCCUGAGCCUGCAUUUGAAACUGUGGUUCUUGAGUGCUGGAGAGGCAAGCGGAAUUCCGGGUGUAGCGGUGAAAUGCGUAGAGAUACGGAGGAACACCAGUGGCGAAGGCGGAUUGCUGGACAGUAACUGACGCUGAGGCGCGAAAGCGUGGGGAGCAAACAGGAUUAGAUACCCCUGUAGUC
rnacentral:rRNA from 1 species